UACGUAGGGUGCGAGCGUUGUCCGGAAUUACUGGGCGUAAAGAGCUCGUAGGUGGUUUGUCGCGUUGUUCGUGAAAUCUCACGGCUUAACUGUGAGCGUGCGGGCGAUACGGGCAGACUUGAGUACUGCAGGGGAGACUGGAAUUCCUGGUGUAGCGGUGGAAUGCGUAGAUAUCGGGAGGAACACCAGUGGCGAAGGCGGCUUCCUGGACCGGUUCUGACACUGAGGAGCGAAAGCGUGGGGAGCGAUCCGG
rnacentral:rRNA from 1 species